rnacentral:lncRNA from 1 species
UUAAAUUAUCCUCAUUUCUUUAAUUUUUAUAACAAUAAUAUGUAUGAUUUUCAGUUUCUAUAUUUUUCUUUUAUAUUUCAGGAUCCAAUGAACAGAAUAUUCCACAAAAGAGUGAAAAAUCCAAACUUAAGGAGCAUUACUUUGAGGGAGAGGCAUGGAGACCCUGAAAGCCUAAGAAAGAGAUGGGGAUUGAUGUACUUGUGAGCAAGUCUGCAGCAGCUGACCCACAGUCAAAAGGUGAGUGGCUAUAUGUAUCACAGGUAACUGCUCUUAAAAAAAAAAAAUAUAUAUAUAUAUAUAUAUAUAUAUAUAUAUAUAUGUAAAACAAAUAUAUAUAUGUAAAAACAAAUAUAUAUAUAUAUAUAUAUAUAUAUAUAUGUCAGAGAAGAGAAGGAGGUUGAUUGGUAUUGUAAACCUGCUCUUAUAUGUAUAUAUAUAUUUGAAACAGAAUCUCACUCUGUUGCCCAGGUUGGAG